rnacentral:tRNA from 1 species
GGGAAGAAAGCAUAAUAUGCGGUUGACUUGAAAUUAACAGAUGGCAGAUUUAACCUGUCUCUUUCUC